rfam:Strongylocentrotus purpuratus Contig98865_fixed, whole genome shotgun sequence.
GGUGUGUUGGCUCAGUCAGUAGAGCGUCCACCUCACAACCGGGAGGUCGUGGGUUCGAACCCCGGCCGCGUCA